GAUGAACGCUGGCGGCGUGCCUAAUACAUGCAAGUCGAGCGAACGGACGAGAAGCUUGCUUCUCUGAUGUUAGCGGCGGACGGGUGAGUAACACGUGGAUAACCUACCUAUAAGACUGGGAUAACUUCGGGAAACCGGAGCUAAUACCGGAUGAUAUUUUGAACCGCAUGGUUCAAAAGUGAAAGACGGUCUUGCUGUCACUUAUAGAUGGAUCCGCGCUGCAUUAGCUAGUUGGUAAGGUAACGGCUUACCAAGGCAACGAUGCGUAGCCGACCUGAGAGGGUGAUCGGCCACACUGGAACUGAGACACGGUCCAGACUCCUACGGGAGGCAGCAGUAGGGAAUCUUCCGCAAUGGGCGAAAGCCUGACGGAGCAACGCCGCGUGAGUGAUGAAGGUCUUCGGAUCGUAAAACUCUGUUAUUAGGGAAGAACAUAUGUGUAAGUAACUGUGCACAUCUUGACGGUACCUAAUCAGAAAGCCACGGCUAACUACGUG
rnacentral:rRNA from 1 species